ensembl:snRNA U6 U6 spliceosomal RNA
GUGCCCACUUGGACAGCACAUAUACUAAAAAUGGAAGGGUACAAAGAAGAUUAUUAGCAUGACCCCUGUGUAAGGAUGACACCCAAAUUCAUGAAGUAUUCCAUAUUUUC